GCGAGUUUGGCCGAGUGGUUAAGGCGCUGUGUUUAGGAAGAAACAACCGAUCCGCAGUGGGCAUGCCCGCGCAGGUUCGAACCCUGCAGCUCGCA
rfam:Trichoderma harzianum strain T6776 Scaffolds0139.1, whole genome shotgun sequence.